rnacentral:rRNA from 1 species
GCAAUGGCGGGGUGCUAUACAUGCAAGUCGAACGAACUCUGGUAUUGAUUGGUGCUUGCAUCAUGAUUUACAUUUGAGUGAGUGGCGAACUGGUGAGUAACACGUGGGAAACCUGCCCAGAAGCGGGGGAUAACACCUGGAAACAGAUGCUAAUACCGCAUAACAACUUGGACCGCAUGGUCCGAGCUUGAAAGAUGGCUUCGGCUAUCACUUUUGGAUGGUCCCGCGGCGUAUUAGCUAGAUGGUGGGGUAACGGCUCACCAUGGCAAUGAUACGUAGCCGACCUGAGAGGGUAAUCGGCCACAUUGGGACUGAGACACGGCCCAAACUCCUACGGGAGGCAGCAGUAGGGAAUCUUCCACAAUGGACGAAAGUCUGAUGGAGCAACGCCGCGUGAGUGAAGAAGGGUUUCGGCUCGUAAAACUCUGUUGUUAAAGAAGAACAUAUCUGAGAGUAACUGUUCAGGUAUUGACGGUAUUUAACCAGAAAGCCACGGCUAACUACGUGCCAGCAGCCGCGGUAAUACGUAGGUGGCAAGCGUUGUCCGGAUUUAUUGGGCGUAAAGCGAGCGCAGGCGGUUUUUUAAGUCUGAUGUGAAAGCCUUCGGCUCAACCGAAGAAGUGCAUCGGAAACUGGGAAACUUGAGUGCAGAAGAGGACAGUGGAACUCCAUGUGUAGCGGUGAAAUGCGUAGAUAUAUGGAAGAACACCAGUGGCGAAGGCGGCUGUCUGGUCUGUAACUGACGCUGAGGCUCGAAAGUAUGGGUAGCAAACAGGAUUAGAUACCCUGGUAGUCCAUACCGUAAACGAUGAAUGCUAAGUGUUGGAGGGUUUCCGCCCUUCAGUGCUGCAGCUAACGCAUUAAGCAUUCCGCCUGGGGAGUACGGCCGCAAGGCUGAAACUCAAAGGAAUUGACGGGGGCCCGCACAAGCGGUGGAGCAUGUGGUUUAAUUCGAAGCUACGCGAAGAACCUUACCAGGUCUUGACAUACUAUGCAAAUCUAAGAGAUUAGACGUUCCCUUCGGGGACAUGGAUACAGGUGGUGCAUGGUUGUCGUCAGCUCGUGUCGUGAGAUGUUGGGUUAAGUCCCGCAACGAGCGCAACCCUUAUUAUCAGUUGCCAGCAUUAAGUUGGGCACUCUGGUGAGACUGCCGGUGACAAACCGGAGGAAGGUGGGGAUGACGUCAAAUCAUCAUGCCCCUUAUGACCUGGGCUACACACGUGCUACAAUGGAUGGUACAACGAGUUGCGAACUCGCGAGAGUAAGCUAAUCUCUUAAAGCCAUUCUCAGUUCGGAUUGUAGGCUGCAACUCGCCUACAUGAAGUCGGAAUCGCUAGUAAUCGCGGAUCAGCAUGCCGCGGUGAAUACGUUCCCGGGCCUUGUACACACCGCCCGUCACACCAUGAGAGUUUGUAACACCCAAAGUCGGUGGGGUAACCUUUUAGGAACCAGCCGCCUAAGGUGAACAAAAGU